rnacentral:sRNA from 1 species
AAAAAAAAUCUAGUAAAGGUUUUGGGAUUGUUAAAGAAAAGAAUGAGGUUCUUGUUAGCUAAAGAAGAAGGGUUAAAAGCCUUUGGUGUUAAAGAAGA